rnacentral:rRNA from 1 species
GAUGAACGCUGGCGGCGUGCCUAAUACAUGCAAGUCGAGCGAACGGACGAGAAGCUUGCUUCUCUGAUGAUAGCGGCGGACGGGUGAGUAACACGUGGAUAACCUACCUAUAAGACUGGGAUAACUUCGGGAAACCGUAGCUAAUACCGGAUAAUAUUUUGAACCGCAUGGUUCAAAAGUGAAAGACGGUCUUGCUGUCACUUAUAGAUGGAUCCGCGCUGCAUUAGCUAGUUGGUAAGGUAACGGCUUACCAAGGCAACGAUGCAUAGCCGACCUGAGAGGGUGAUCGGCCACACUGGAACUGAGACACGGUCCAGACUCCUACGGGAGGCAGCAGUAGGGAAUCUUCCGCAAUGGGCGAAAGCCUGACGGAGCAACGCCGCGUGAGUGAUGAAGGUCUUCGGAUCGUAAAACUCUGUUAUUAGGGAAGAACAUAUGUGUAAGUAACUGUGCACAUCUUGACGGUACCUAAUCAGAAAGCCACGGCUAACUACGUG